CGCUUAUUGCGCGGCGAUAACCUUACACACAUUGUCUAGUUUUUUUGAACUUUGCUUUGGGUGCAUCAGCCUAGCUGCGUGCCCAAAGGUCUAAACACAUUUUUUAAUGUUAAAACCUUUAACCAAUAGUCAUGAAAAUUUUUAACAAAAAUUAAAAUCUUCAAAACUUUCAACAACGGAUCUCUUGGUUCUCGCAACGAUGAAGAACGCAGCGAAAUGCGAUACGUAUUGUGAAUUGCAGAUUUUCGUGAAUCAUCGAAUCUUUGAACGCACAUUGCACCCUCUGGUAUUCCAGAGGGUAUGCCUGUUUGAGCGUCAUUUCUCUCUCAAACCUUCGGGUUUGGUAUUGAGUGAUACUCUGUCAAGGGUUAACUUGAAAUAUUGACUUAGCAAGAGUGUACUAAUAAGCAGUCUUUCUGAAAUAAUGUAUUAGGUUCUUCCAACUCGUUAUAUCAGCUAGGCAGGUUUAGAAGUAUUUUAGGCUCGGCUUAACAACAAUAAACUAAAAGUUUGACCUCAAAUCAGGUAGGACUACCCGCUGAACUUAAGCAUAUCAAUAAG
rnacentral:rRNA from 1 species